CUGUGAUGGAGGAAGCCCCCAGCCCUUCUCAAUGCUGCCUUUGCUUCCUCCAUCUAAGGUGAGCGUUAUGCUGCCUACCCUCAUGAUGCAGUCCUUCUGUAUGCUGAGAUCCUGAUGGAAGUGGUAACAGCCGGGAGCGUUUUCCUGGAUGGGAGGCCAGCUAGUGAUCUGGGAGUCUGAAAGGCUCCAACUGGACCAUGUUGCAGGGUGAGAGGAUGGGCAAACUGUGUCGAAAUCACCCUGGGAGCUGGCCAGUGGAGGUCGUCUUGCUGUACUCCAGCUUUCUAUUUUCCACCCCAGAGGGCCAUGCCUGUGUCCAGAGGGAACAACAGUACCACGUCUAGUGGGACCAUUUUGGGAGAUGUCAACUCCUUUACGGACAGCCAGCGGGGUCAAGAGCUCUUUUAUGCCCCAGUAGGGCUUUACCA
ensembl:lncRNA